rnacentral:rRNA from 1 species
GACGAACGCUGGCGGCGUGCCUAACACAUGCAAGUCGAGCGGAGGUAACUAGAGGAAGUUUUCGGAUGGAAUCUGGUUACUUUAGCGGCGGACGGGUGAGUAACGCGUGAGCAACCUGCCUUUCACAGGGGGAUAACGGAUCGAAAGAUUCACUAAUACCGCAUGAGACCACGGGGGUGCAUACUCCAGGGGUCAAAGGAGCAAUCCGGUGAAAGAUGGGCGCGCGUCCGAUUAGAUAGUUGGUGGGGUAACGGCCUACCAAGUCAACGAUCGGUAGCCGACCUGAGAGGGUGAUCGGCCACACUGGAACUGAGAGACGGUCCAGACUCCUACGGGAGGCAGCAGUGGGGAAUAUUGGGCAAUGGGGGAAACCCUGACCCAGCAGCGCCGCGUGAGGGAAGAAGGUUUUCGGAUUGUAAACCUCUGUCCUUGGUGAAGAGAGGAAGACGGUAGCCAAGGAGGAAGCCCCGGCUAACUACGUGCCAGCAGCCGCGGUAA